UCCAGAUCUUUACAUAUCAAUCUCUGGUUUUUAAAAAGUAUGAUGAUGAAUUUAUGCAACCAAUUCUUUCUAUUUUUUAAAUUUUUUAAUUUUUUAAAUGUUUGUUUUUGAGAGAGAGAGAGAAAAAACAAGCAGGGAGGGACAGAGAGAGAGAGGGAGACACAGAAUCUGAAGCAGGCUCUAGGUUCUAAACUGUCAGCUUAGACAGCUUAGACGCGGGGCUGGAACUCACCAGCAUGGAGGUCAUGACCUGAGCCCAAGUCAGCUGCUGUUUAACCGACUGGGCCACCCAGGCACCCCAACCAAUUCUUUCUAAACAGCCAGUUGUUACCAAUUUUUUUCUGCCACACCCGAGAAUGAAAACUCACACUGCCCCGUUGCAGAAGAAACAAAGUUACAAAUUGUUCUUUUUCGACCUUAAUAACGUCUGAAAGUCUUUGAUCAUCCAACAUACUGAGAAAAGAGUGUGCAAAAUGUUUUGUGGUAGGAUUUGCUAGAAAGACCAACAUGGAACCGGACUCAUGCUUACGAAUGGCGAGGUCACUUGCGUGUGCGCUUGUGAGGAAGGGUCACGGUUCCGCGAGCGGCCCGGCGGCCUCGCGCUUCCCAGCCAUGGCCUUGGAGACAACAGGCGGCAGCCCCCCGCCCAAGCAAGGUCGGCUCAAAGGCGUGACCUCCGGCCCGCUGUCGCUCAGGCGGGAGGGGGCGGGGCCGUGCGAGCCGUCCAAUCAGGGGAGCCGCCGGAGCCGUACGUGCGGGCGACGCGCCGUGGACGCCGUGGACGGCGAGGGCCGUGUGCGGUGGCUGCUGUGCGGCCGAGCCUCGCACCCGCUGGCGCCGUCCUUGAGGGCUUCGGGAGGUUCCGCCGCGUCCUGGGUCGCCGCGACCUGCGCUGGCCGCGGCAGCCGGAUGGUGGGCGACCCGGCACCCCGGAAACCGAGCGAUGGCCUCCUGGACUGUCCGGUUUGGUGAUGGGACUAGAAGAAACAGCUUCCGGUUCUUCACUGUGUUUUAUUCAUUAAAACCUCCUGCAGAUUGACCCUGUGCAUCAUGGAGUGCUGAGUUAAAUGGUAGGUAAUAAGGAAGGAGAGGAGUUUUUCUCAAAAGGAAUUGGUGUGCUUAAAAUAAUACUUGUUUCAUGUGUAUAGCCUUUCUCUCAUUUCUCCAAGGGGCUUCUAGACCCUGCCAUUAGAGAACAGUAACAUUUAAAGUGAUCACAGUAGGGGCACCUGGGUGGCUCAGUCGGUUGAGCGUCCGACUUCGGCUCAGGUCAUGAUCUCAGGGUCUGUGAGUUCAAGCCCCGCGUCGGGCUCUGUGCCGACAGCUCAGAGCCUGGAGCCUGUUUCCGAUUCUGUGUCUCCCUCUCUCUCUCUGACCCUCCCCGUUCAUGCUCUGUCUCUCUCUGUCUCAAAAAAAUAAAUAAAGGUUAAAAAAAAUUAAAAAAAAAAAUAAAGUGAUCACAGUAAAAAUGUGUAAGUAAUUUGCAUGUGUUCAUGAUGUCGUUAAAUUCCUGAGGAAGUGUGAACAGAGGAUAAGUGUCUCAUGAGCAAGACAUAAAUGUUUGGAGAUCGCAGAAUCGUACAUAACCUUCCUGUAAAUUGAGUAUAAAUCCCCAGUGCUGUCAGACUUCACGCAUACUGCUGUAAACAUAUUUGUGAUGUUUUAGGACUCAGUGACCUUUGAGGAUGUGGCUGUGAACUUCACCCUGGAAGAGUGGGCUUUACUGGAUUCUUCACAGAAGAAACUCUAUAGAGAUGUGAUGCGGGAAACCUUCAGAAACGUGGCCUCAGUAGGUAAAGAUGAUGAUAUUUUUCUUUCUUUUUUUUAAUGUUUAUUUAUUUUUGACAGAGAGAGAGAGAGAGAGAGAGACACACACAGAGCAUGAGUGGGGGAGGGGCAGAGAGAAAGGGAGACACAGAAUUUGAAGUAGGCUCCAGGCUCUGAGCUGUCAGCACAGAGCCCGAAGCGGGGCUUGAACUCACAGACCAUGAGAUCAUGACCUGAGCCGAAGUCGGACGCUCAACCGACUGAGCCACCCAGGCGCCCUGAUGGUAUUUUUUCUUACUUAACUUUGGCAUUAGAGAACAAGUAUUUCUUGCUCAUCAAUCUUGUUCUGACAUGUGGAAAAAGAGUACAUUGGUCAGGCUAAGCUCACCAUAGAUAUAAAAUCUGGUAAU
rnacentral:lncRNA from 1 species